AGAGUUUGAUCCUGGCUCAGAAUCAACGCUGGCGGCGUGCCUAACACAUGCAAGUCGAACGAGAAAGUGGAGCAAUCCAUGAGUAAAGUGGCGCACGGGUGAGUAACACGUGACUAACCUACCUUUUAGUGGGGGAUAACUUAGGGAAACCUGGGCUAAUACCGCAUAACACCUACGGGUCAAAGCAGCAAUGCGCUGGAAGAGGGGGUCGCGGUCGAUUAGUUAGUUGGCAGGGUAAUGGCCUACCAAGACUGUGAUCGAUAUCCGGCCUGAGAGGGCGCACGGACACACUGGAACUGAAACACGGUCCAGACUCCUACGGGAGGCAGCAGUGGGGAAUUUUGCGCAAUGGGGGAAACCCUGACGCAGCAACGCCGCGUGGAGGAUGAAGUCCCUUGGGACGUAGACUCCUUUCGAUCGGGACGAUUAUGACGGUACCGGAAGAAGAAGCCCCGGCUAACUUCGUGCCAGCAGCCGCGGUAAUACGAGGGGGGCAAGCGUUGUUCGGAAUUAUUGGGCGUAAAGGGUGCGUAGGCGGUUCGGCAAGUCUUGUGUGAAAUCUUCAGGCUCAACUUGAAGUCUGCACAAGAAACUGCCGGGCUUGAGUAUGGGAGAGGUGAGUGGAAUUUCCGGUGUAGCGGUGAGAUGCGUAGAUAUCGGAAGGAACACCUGUGGCGAAAGCGGCUCACUGGACCAUUACUGACGCUGAUGCACGAAAGCUAGGGGAGCAAACAGGAUUAGAUACCCUGGUAGUCCUAGCCCUAAACGAUGAUCGCUUGGUGUGGCGGGUAUCCAACCCUGCCGUGCCGCAGCUAACGCGUUAAGCGAUCCGCCUGGGGGAGUACCGUCGCAGCUGAAACUCAAAGAUUGACGGGGCCCGCACAGCGGUGGAGCAUGGUGGUUUAAUUCGACCGCACGCGAAGAACCUUACCUGG
rnacentral:rRNA from 1 species